rnacentral:rRNA from 1 species
GACGAACGCUGGCGGUGUGCUUCACACAUGCAAGUCGAACGAGUGGCGGACGGGUGAGUAACACGUGGGAAUCUACAAUUAGGGGGGGAAUAACAGGCCGAAAGGACUGAUAAUGCCGCAUACCUUUUGAUGAGACCGCGUCCGAUUAGCUAUUUGGUAGGGUAAAGCCUACCAAGGCGACGAUCUGUAGGGGGUCUGAGAGGAUGAUCACCCACAAUGGGACUGCGACACGUCCCAUACUCCUACGUGGUGCAUCGAUGGGGAAUUUUCCGCAAUGGGGGAAACCCUGACGUAGCGACACCGCGUGAGCGAAGAUGCCCUUUUGGGUGUAAAGCUCUGUCAACAAGAUCGCGGUACCUGUGGAGGAAGCGACGGCUACCUACGUGCCAGCAGCCGCGGUAAUUG